GGGUGAUUAGCUCAGUGGUAGAGCGCUUCGUUCACAUCGAAGAUGUCAGGGGUUCAAAUCCCUUAUCACCCACC
rnacentral:tRNA from 1 species